GUGCUCACUUUGGCAGCACAUAUACUAAAAUUGGAAGGAUACAGAGAAAACUGGCAUUGCCCCCAUGCAAGGAUGACAUGCAAAUUCGUGAAACGUUCCAUAUUUUA
rnacentral:snRNA from 1 species